AUGUUCCUUAUUCUGCCAGCCAGCAUACGUCAACCUCUUUCGUCGUCCGUCCUUCCGUUCGUUCAUCGCACCUUCUUUGUCUCACACCGGAAAACCUGCUCGGAAAAUAAAUGCCCCAACAAAUCCGCCACCAAAUCCUAUCGAUUCCAUCUCGCCAUGCCUCCCUGCCGCGACGUCGCCCUAUCUCCAUGCCUCAUCGCGCGCGCCUCCACACCAUCGCGUAGUCGUACUAGCCUCACUCCACGCGACCCCGACACCGAGAUUCUCGCCGUUCCGGUGAGUCGAGAUGAUCUUGCAGAGAAAGUACCAAGAUGGGAGAAGGGGUCGUCAAGCGGAUCUGAGCACCAUCCCGUGCUGUGGGUUGCCUUCGUGAGGUUCGCACCCCUCCUUCCUGAUGCCCCCCUUCUUCUCCCCCAGCGGCAGUCAUGGUGGCUCGGUGGCAGCCCCGCAGCAUCGAUGGGAGAAAUCCCAUGGGAAUUAUCGAUGGUGAAAGCCUCGUUGCCCAGGCUUCCUGCUUCGAUCUGCCCCACUGUCCUUUCAUGGGCCUCAAUCUGCCCCACAAUAUCAUCAACAAGCCAACGUCAUUAAAGUACAUCACGGCCUCUUUCUGGAGCAAUCGAUCGACCACUCUUCUUCCUGGGAUAAAGUAGCGGCCAAUGGAUCCAUCUGUGAGCGGCCACAGCCGUCGUUCCUUCCGGCAAGGUGAGACGUCAAGCAGGAAAUAUCUUGGUCAUUUUACACUUGCAUUGUACGACAUGGAGGUCAAGAGGAUGUAUCCGCCUCUCCUAGGUCCAGGACAUGCCUAUACACGUAGCAGCAGUGACAGUCCAUCAGUUUCUUUCUUUUCUUCAAGAGGUUCAGUUUAUUUACAUAACUAUUUUUUGUGGCCCUUCUACAAGGAGAUUACAUCUGAGUCUUUUUUUCUUCCAUUGAGGUCUGGUGCUUGGGUAAUAUACGGGUUUAUUGCUUGUGGGGUUAACAUGCUAUAUAAAUUCAGAGCUUUAAACUAAUCUUGUGGUGAGUUCUUAUUGUAGGAUGCUAUUGCGUGGUCUUUUCUGCCCAGGUAACUAGAAUGUUUUCUAUUUUAAUUUAUCUUGAUUACUUGUUGAUGAAGUGAAGUGAUCUAAUCAGACAAUUCAAUUGACCAACGGGACGAUUCCCUCAAGUGAGGAUUUGAGAUGAUAAUUGAGAUGUAGAUGACAAAGGUUUUCACUAGGUAACGGUAUUUUUGUUUAUAAGAGGUAAUGAUAUCAUGCAUUCAUGGACGAAAGUCUGGAUUAAUUAUGCUUAGGAGGCGGCGGUAUAGUGUUGUCUCUUAAUUAAUAUAGGCGGAUGAUGAAUUUGAUCUGCUCCGGUCAGAGUCCGACUGGAUACAUACUAUAAUAUAGCAAUGUGCAAAUACAUGAUUGAUGAUUGUCACUUUAAGUUCUUUCGCGAAGUCCAAUUGAUGAUGAUUAUUACUGCAAGGAUACAACCACAGAGGGAGUAUUAUCGCAGGUCACAGGUCGCGCUCCGGUCAGAGUCCGACUGGAUACAUACUGUAAUAUAGCUCUGAGGACGGCUGGAUCAGUGAGCUAAACUAAUCAUUAAUCAUUUUUUGCAUCUUCUUCUUAUUUUGUUUCCUUCUCUGUCCCGCUUUUCUUCUCCUUGCACCCUAAAUCAGUAUAUUAGGUUCAUAAGAAAUCAAAUAUUUCUCUGACUUGCAUUGUUCAACUUUCUAUUGCCGUUCCAAUGUUUGUCUUUUCUUCUCUAUAGUAAGAAGUUGUACCUGUCUGCAGGUCAAAGAGAAAAUAUGCAGAUUUUGCCUCUAGGAUGUAUCGUGCCGAUGCAAUUACUGGGAAGUUCUUGUGGGAAUUGCACACAUCUAGGGAUAUAGGGAUCAAGACGUUGUAAAACUCACAUGAGUUGGACUUAUUUUGUUCUUGAGCGUGAGAUGAUUACAUGUGUACCCCGGAUCUGGUUGAGAUAAUGUCCAUCACUCUCCUCUGUAGGCGUGUAGCGCUAGGUUGCGGGCCUGCCGUAAGCCUCCUCCCUCGAGUGCCAGAACCAACAACAAGCGGCGGAGAAGAACAUGCAUGGGCGUGCUGUCGGGGUCAUGUAAUUAGUUUCUAGGAUGUGAGAUCCCGAGGGUCUAAGACAUAUCACUAUAAUAAUAGUGAAUGCAAUACUUUUUAAGCACGUGGUCUAAGACAUAUAUGUAUAAAUAGUGAAUGCAAUAAUUUUUCUGUAUAUGAAAAUUAGAAAUAUGUUAUAACAAGGUGUGCAGGAUAUUUUACUAUUGAAAUAUUAGGUAGUGCAGUAUGAACAAUGUUCUUUAGUUCAGUAUAAAAAGGUGGCAGAUGCAUAUCAACAGCUCAAAUUUUGAUGUUUCGUUUGUGAUUACAGGCUAACCCAGAGAGGAACGUGGUUGUUGCUGCUGCUUGAGGACUCCACUGAAAAAUAGAAGAGAAGAUGAAGAGAAGAGAAGAGAAAGGCCUGCAGAUCUUGAUGGAGAUCAUAAAAAAUUGUUCUGCACACUGGUUGGAGAAAUCUGAAUGUUCAUGUUGGAUCAGUAACCACUUAAUAGCUGCACAAUGCGCUCCAACUAUGCUUUGGUUGAAAAGCAUCUACUAAGCCACCCUUCCAAAAUGCAUUAAGGUUGCUAUUUCUUAUAUACAAAACCUGAACUAACUGUAGUUAACUAUUUCAAUUUUCUCACAUCUAACUAUUCAGAUGUUGUGAUUAUAGGCUAACCCUAUUAUUUAUGACUUGUGAUUUGAUUUUUGUAUUGAUGACAUCUGAAUUAGUAAUACUUGCUCGAGCUUAUAAUUUAUUACUACUGGAAAUUCUGAUUCCUUUUCACCAUGUAUAUAUCCGUGUUCCCGGUUACCUCCUACUGCAGUUCUUUGUGAAACUGACGGUGAUGGAACUUAAAAAAUCACAGACUUGAUAAUUCAUAAAGGUUGAGCAGUGAAUGCCGGUCAUGUGAUUUUGGCUGCUACUUACUCCCUGCCCCAUUGUGAAACUACGGACAUGGCUUAAAUAAUUAGAUUGCCUAACAUACCUCAAUUAUGCGUGCAAUUAAGUCUGCAAUGUAGCAUUUUGAAUAUCUUCAUAUUGUCUGUAGUGACCGCACUUAGUCUUCGCCAGCUGCUGGCUUCAAUUUCUCCUAAAUCUGUAUGUUCUGAUAUAAAGAUUAAUGAACCUGCUCAUGUACGUGAUAGCUCACGUGUGAAGGGAAGUGUCCGUCUAGCUGUGGCUGCUUCAGUUGCCUAUGAUUAUUUGAACUUCAUUGAUGUUGAUUAAUAUUUGAUCUUUACCAAUUUUGAUCA